UGAUCAAGAGCGAAAGUUAAGGGUUCGAAGACGAUUGAACGUAUGGUCGUCUAAAGCGGGAAAUGCCCCUAUGGGGAGGAAGGUGGGGGUCGCUCCCUUGCUAUCCCGACCUGGGGGUAAUGAAAGCUAGUUUCCGGGCCUUUGCGGGCUCGGGGGCAACACCAUCAAAUUGCGGGGACUCCCUUAGAGCCUUCAACUACCGUGCCCCUUUCAUAGGGGUAAACCCUGGAUAAUGCCCAGUGGUAGGUCAUAACGUUGAGGGAUUGGGUUACCUGCAGCUAAGCUCUGAAGCCACCUUGUUCAAUACGGCAAAUCCCCGCUUGUGGGGGUGCGUCCGGACUCGGGGGUGGGGAGUGACGUUCACAGACUAAACGGUGGUGGGUGGGGGUCUCCAAAGGGAAGCCACGGCUAUCUCGGAGGGGGUCUCUGCUUAAGACAUAGUCGCACCCCUCCCGAAAGGGAGGUUGGAAACCAAGGCAGAUACCGUCGUAGUCUUAACUAUAAAUGAUACUGACCAGGGAUAGGAUACUGUCCAUCUCGACUCUUCCCGAACCUUAGAGAAAUCAGAGUCUUUGAGUUCUGGGGGGAGUAUGGUCGCAAGGCUGAAACUUAAAGGAAUUGACGGAAGGGCACACAAAGAGUGGAACCUGCGGCUUUGAUAGAUUAGGCCCAUAAAGUGAACCCAGUUUGCUAGUGGGUGGGGAGAGGCUUGCCUUUCCCUGCUUGCAACACCCCCAAAUAGCUGGGAACCCCUUACAGCCCCCCUUACYAAGCAGCAUUCCGAAAGGAGGCUGUGGCCCUGGAUAACAACCAGGGGUAUGGUGAUAAUAGGGAGGGAUUGGGCAACCAGCAGCCAAGUCCCUUAUUCAAAGCCAGACCUCCGGGUCUGGCUUUGCUGGGAUGCAGCUCACAGACUAAACGGUGGUGGGCGGCAGAUUGCCCUAUGUCCCUUGCCCUCAUGGGUGGGGGGUCUUGGUCAACUUGCUGCUUAAGAUAUAGUCGAUCCCCCUUGUAAAAGCAAGGGGUACCGAAUAAUUUGACUCAACACGGGAAAACUCACCAGGUCCGGAUAC
rnacentral:rRNA from 1 species